UCUGUGUUCUCAUUGCGACUGCUCUUCUA
rnacentral:piRNA from 1 species